rnacentral:rRNA from 1 species
CCUACGUGUGGCAGCAGUGGGGAAUAUUGCACAAUGGGGGAAACCCUGAUGCAGCGACGCCGCGUGAGUGAAGAAGUAAUUCGUUAUGUAAAGCUCUCUCAGCAGGGAAGAAAAUGACGGUACCUGAGUAAGUAGCCCCGGCUAACUACGUGCCAGAAGCCGCGGUAAUACGUAGGGGGCAAGCGUUAUCCGGAUUUACUGGUGGUAAAGGGAGCGUAGACGGCAGUGCAAGUCUGGAGUGAAAGUCGGGGGCUCAACCCCCGGACUGCUCUGGAAACUGUAAGGUUUGAGUACAGGAGAGGGAAGUGGAAUUCCUGGUGUAGCGGUGAAAUGCGUAGAUAGUAGGAGGAACACCAGUGGCGAAGGCGGCUUACUGGACUGUAACUGACGUUGAGGCUCGAAAGCGUGGGGAGCAAACAGGAUUAGAUACCCGAGUAGUC